rnacentral:rRNA from 1 species
GUGGGGAAUCUUGCGCAAUGGGCGAAAGCCUGACGCAGCCAUGCCGCGUGGAUGAUGAAGGUCUUAGGAUUGUAAAAUCCUUUCACCGGUGAAGAUAAUGACUGUAGCCGGAGAAGAAGCCCCGGCUAACUUCGUGCCAGCAGCCGCGGUAAUACGAAGGGGGCUAGCGUUGCUCGGAAUUACUGGGCGUAAAGGGAGCGUAGGCGGACAUUUAAGUCAGGGGUGAAAUCCCGAGGCUCAACCUCGGAACUGCCUUUGAUACUGGGUGUCUUGAGUGUGAGAGAGGUGAGUGGAACUCCGAGUGUAGAGGUGAAAUUCGUAGAUAUUCGGAAGAACACCAGUGGCGAAGGCGACUCACUGGCCCAAUACUGACGCUGAGGCGCGAAAGCGUGGGGAGCAAACAGGAUUAGAUACCCGAGUAGUCC